rnacentral:rRNA from 1 species
AGGACCUCCGGUGUGUUUCGCGUGGGUUCCGCGGCGGGGGUAAAGAGGAGGUGGAGGGUAGGGGUAGAGCGAGAGCGCCGGCUCUCUAGCUUAGCCUCUUCUUCUUCCUCGCCUCUCCGGAGACGACGGGAUCGAGGCGGCGGGGGCGUGGUCGGUACCGCGAGCGGCGAGCGGAGCAUAGGGCGAGGGCGGUCAAUAUAAGACAGGUUCGACGAAACCGGUUACCUCCAGAGUGAGUUCAGGCGAGUAAACGGUUCCUCCGUCGAGGACAGUCGCCUCUGCUGGAUAACUUCCCGUAGAAAAAACUCCACUUCUUUUUCAAACUCUGGCGUGAACCCCAGGAAUUCUUCCUCUUCUAGUGCUAACUGGGUCUACUGGGUUGUCGUCAACGAUUGAUACGGGUUCAGUACUCCUGACAUUCUCUUUUCCGUCUAGAAGAAUUGCUAAGAGUCUCUUAAUUUAUAUGAUAACUCUGAAAGUGCUUCCCGUAGGGACUACGUUCCUGCAUGAACCUAUGGGAAGUCGUUGAGUCCUUUUUCUCACCUGAAUAUCUACUAUACCCAUAACUCCUAUACUACUACCUUCGAGAGCUCUUUCAACUCUUCCUGUAAUUCUUCGGAGAAGACUCCUCACUGUUCUUCUUGUACUUAGAGGAGAACCGUCUCAAACUGUUCUAUUUGUUUUUCGAACCGUAAGCCUUCCUCCUAGAAGGGUUCUAACUCCUCUUAGAACUUUACCUUGAACGGUUUCGACUCGACUGCCUUGAGUUCUUCCUUCAACAACUUCGUUACCUCCCAGUUGAUUUCUCCCUCCUCAAAUUUCUACUCCACUACGGACUGCAGUCCUUCAACCUGUAAUCUUUGAAGGAGAUCCAGGGACUAACUACUAUCGGGAGUCCCGCUGGCUAGACACUAAAAAGAAAAGUUCACUGCCGUCCACGACAUUCGGUGUGGCUUACCUACAAUAACAACGAAAAAAAACAUUAUUUUGACGUGGCUUUUAUACUGUCAGUUGGCACUCAACCCAACGAACCAAUGGAAGGCCGAAACUCUCAAAACAAAGAAGAAUCCGACCGUUGCACUUGUAGUUCGCAACGACUUAUACACGGACGCCGACGACAACAUACAUCAUCGGUGUGUAAUAUUAAUAUACCCUACAAGGUCACAGAACAAGUGGUCCAAUACUCCGAAGCCGGUACCAAAAUUGACGUCAAAGCUAAAAGUAACAUGUACAG